rfam:Pelotomaculum thermopropionicum SI DNA, complete genome.
AUAUAUACGGAAAAUCUGCUGUAGACAACUGGUGCCUGCGGGCAUAAUGGCUUCAAGCCGCCAGUCGAGGCAUGGGGAAAAACCUGACGUUUUUGCAAACGCCGGGCCUCUGUGCUUGUCUGCAGAGGCCCUUUUAGUUGCCGGC